AUUGAACGCUGGCGGCAUGCUUUACACAUGCCAGUCGAACGGUAACAGGCCUUCGGGUGCUGACGAGUGGCGCACGGGUGAGUAAUGCAUCGGAACGUACCCAGAGGUGGGGGAUAACGCAGCGAAAGCUGUGCUAAUACCGCAUGUGAUCUGAGGAUGAAAGCGGGGGACCGAGCAGCAAUGUUUGGCCUCGCGCCUUUGGAGCGGCCGAUGUCGGAUUAGCUAGUUGGUGGGGUAAAGGCCUACCAAGGCGACGAUCCGUAGCUGGUCUGAGAGGACGACCAGCCACACUGGGACUGAGACACGGCCCAGACUCCUACGGGAGGCAGCAGUGGGGAAUUUUGGACAAUGGGCGCAAGCCUGAUCCAGUAAUGCCGCGUGCGGGAAGAAGGCCUUCGGGUUGUAAACCGCUUUUGGCAGGAACGAAACGGUGUCCGCUAAUACCGGGCGCUAAUGACGGUACCUGCAGAAUAAGCACCGGCUAACUACGUG
rnacentral:rRNA from 1 species